AUACGGGGAGUGCAAGCGUUGUCCGGAAUCAUUGGGCGUAAAGGGUUCGUAGGUGGAAUUAUAAGUCUGGUGAGAAAGCCCACAGCUCAACUGUGGAACUGCACUGGAUACUGUUUUUCUUGAGUUAUAGAGGGGUUUGUGGAAUUUCUGGUGUAGAGGUGAAAUUUGUAGAGAUCAGAAAGAACACCGGUGGCGAAGGCGACAAACUGGCUAUUAACUGACACUGAGGAACGAAAGCGUGGGGAGCGAACAGGAUUAGAAACCCUAGUAGUCC
rnacentral:rRNA from 1 species